rnacentral:misc_RNA from 1 species
GGUGGAGAUAAUCUGCCGGGGACAAGCAGUACUUCCAACCUUACAAUUACACAACUUGGUGGACUUGUGGUUUCGGACGGCGUCAACCUCGAAGAAAGUACCGGCAUCAGUGGGUUCCUCAGCCAAGGACUUCGUAAUGAUACUAUCAUACUGUCGAAAAGUUCAAGCUUCUUAAAAUAGCUAAGCAUCUUUCUUUGUUGUCUUCGGUCAUCUACAUCUUCGGCUAGCAAUAUAUAUAUAUAAAGUUGGAUCUUGUGAAGCUGUAUUUACCCCGACCAUUGGAUCCAUCACAUACUUGGUUACAUGCAUGUGAUUACAUGUAAGAAUAUAUUUGAUUUGAUUUAUUCUAUGGGCUAGCCUCAUCAUUUACAGUUUGCACUCUGUACUAUCCAUUGUUUGGUUCUUUCGUUUAAAACCCAAUUGAAGAUACUAAUGAACUUUACCUUAAGUGGCUAUGGAGUCGUCAUUUUCAGAGUUGUGAGAUCUAAUCCAUUGGAAGAUAAAUUAAUGAAAUCAGAGGAGUUGUAUCUAGUUCAAGUUUUGCCCAUUGGCAUUCCUAUCUUUGCUCAAGCACUAAAUCUUGC